AGCUUUUCAACUUGAGAGUUUGAUCCUGGCUCAGAACGAACGCUGGCGGCAGGCCUAACACAUGCAAGUCGAGCGCACCUUCGGGUGAGCGGCGGACGGGUUAGUAACGCGUGGGAAUAUACCCAGA
rnacentral:rRNA from 1 species